AGAGAGGGAGCUUGCUUCCUUGAUCGAGUGGCGAACGGGUGAGUAACGCGUGAGGAACCUGCCUCAAAGAGGGGGACAACAGUUGGAAACGACUGCUAAUACCGCAUAAGCGCACAGUAUCGCAUGAUACAGUGUGAAAAACUCCGGUGGUACAAGAUGGACCCGCGUCUGAUUAGCUAGUUGGUGAGGUAACGGCCCACCAAGGCGACGAUCAGUAGCCGGACUGAGAGGUUGAACGGCCACAUUGGGACUGAGAUACGGCCCAAACUCC
rnacentral:rRNA from 1 species